rnacentral:lncRNA from 1 species
AAGGACAAGGGAGUAGUUCUCCAGGAGUGCCGCGGCCUCCUGACCAGCCUGGCUCCGGGGUGCCGGAAGGGCUGGGGUGCGGCACCCACGCCACCCCUCUCCGGCAGGGCAUGGUCCUGGGGCUCCUGUGCCGUGUAUGACAGCGGGGGCUACGUGCAGGAGCUGGGCCUGAGCCUGGAGGAGAGCCGCGACCGGCUGCGCUUCCUGCAGCUGCACAACUGGCUGGACAACAGGUGUGCCUGCUGCUGUUCGCCGUGCACUUCGCCGUGGCCGAGGCCCGUACUUGGCACAGGGAAGGGCGCUGGCGCGUGCUGCGGCUCGGAGCCUGGGCGCGGUGGCUGCUGGUGGCGCUGACGGCGGCCACGGCACUGGUACGCCUCGCCCAGCUGGGUGCCGCUGACCGCCAGUGGACCCGUUUCGUGCGCGGCCGCCCGCGCCGCUUCACUAGCUUCGACCAGGUGGCGCAGCUGAGCUCCGCAGCCCGUGGCCUGGCGGCCUCGCUGCUCUUCCUGCUUUUGGUCAAGGCUGCCCAGCAGCUACGCUUCGUGCGCCAGUGGUCCGUCUUUGG